GAUGGAAUUGCGUCAGUGCAUGAAAUGUCACAGACAGUUUUGCUUUGAAAACGGCAGCAGGCACAAGUCUUUCAUUGAAGGAGGGAUCCAAAUCUGGCCAGAAUACAGACAUGUAUCUUUUGAGUUCAGCAGGGCGGCACAUCAGCUGAACGCUCGUGUUUAGAUGACCAGGGCCAGCGGGCACCUCUCGGGGGGACCAUCACACCAGCUUUGAGAAGAUGAUCGUGUUGAACACUUGUUGUGGUGAUUAUGAUUAUGGUUUCCUGUACACUUCCCCCAUCUACCACUGGCUGGAUGCUUUGCCCCAAAUUGGUUUAACCAGAAGCUGCUGUCAAACCCAAUGGAGCAAGAAUUGGAUUUUUACUUGUACAACUUUAAAGAUUUUUUUUCAUAUUUUUGUAUGACUUUU